AGGCCUCAGUCUCUAUGGUAGGACCCAGCGCCUGUGCCGCCAUCUUUUUUGGGGGCAACUUUAAAUUACAACACAGGUAGGAAAGUGAAACAGCAAAUAAGACAAUCAAUUGAGGUAACGAUUGGGAAGGAGUUGUUGGAGGUUUGAGGAGAGAGAAGAUAUGGAAUAACCAUUUAGGAUGGCAUUCAACCAACUGUGGCCUGUAGGCCAAAUGUGGCUUGUCAUCUCUCUUGAAAAUAAAGUUUUGGGAACACAGGCGUGCCUCCUUGUUAAUAUAUUGUCUAUGGCUGCUCUUGCACUACAGUUUCAAAGGAACUCUACCAGAUUCUUACAGUGAAGAUGGGAGAAGAAAAGUCCCUCAUGUGUCCAGGACACUUUUUUAAAAUAGGCCCAGAGCAUUCUCUCCUUCUUGACAAGUCCUGCCCUUGAUAGCUAUCUUACCAGAGCCUAACUGAUUGGGAUUUUA